CAGACACAGAAGGAGGAAGAUGUGACCUGCCCCGCUGAAAAAGAGUCUCCACAUCACAGGUGAAGCGGGCCACCCUUCCCAGGUCUUCGUCGUACUUCCGCUCACUGACAAAGUGCUGGAGAAGAGAGAAAAGCUUCCAGGUUCAUCUUUCCAGUCGCGCUCCACUCUGUUGUCUGAGACGGGGUCUCUCGCUGGGAUCUAAGCCUUACCAACUGGCGAGACUGGCUGACCAGUAAGUUCCAGAGGAUGAGAACCUAUGGAAUCCUUCCAGACUAACGUGAUUUGAUGGACUAAGACCACCCCCUCCCGAAAGGUUGCUGUGAACCCCUCCCAAAUUACUUUGCCCAACAAAAAGCAGGAAGCAGUUUGGAGAGAACUACACCCAAAU